CUCCGAGUGCUUGCAUUUAAAGUAACAACGUUUGUGAUCAUAUUUAUGAAAAAUAGCUUCUGCACUUUGCCGCAUGUUCUAGAACCCGACAUCAACAACCAAAUCAUUUUUGUUGUUGUAAUAUGAAUUCUUCUUGAGUUCGGUCAGUCUAGACAGGUCAUAUUCAAAGUUGGCAAGCGAGGCUGCAGCAUCUAAUGGAAUCACUGGAACCAACCUGUUAGUUAGUUUAGUUGAA
rnacentral:lncRNA from 1 species